rnacentral:rRNA from 1 species
UUAAGCGACUAAGCGUACACGGUGGAUGCCCUGGCAGUCAGAGGCGAUGAAGGACGUGCUAAUCUGCGAUAAGCGUCGGUAAGGUGAUAUGAACCGUUAUAACCGGCGAUUUCCGAAUGGGGAAACCCAGUGUGAUUCGUCACACUAUCAUUAACUGAAUCCAUAGGUUAAUGAGGCGAACCGGGGGAACUGAAACAUCUAAGUACCCCGAGGAAAAGAAAUCAACCGAGAUUCCCCCAGUAGCGGCGAGCGAACGGGGAGCAGCCCAGAGCCUGAAUCAGUGUGUGUGUUAGUGGAAGCGUCUGGAAAGGCGCGCGAUACAGGGUGACAGCCCCGUACACAAAAAUGCACAUGCUGUGAGCUCGAUGAGUAGGGCGGGACACGUGGUAUCCUGUCUGAAUAUGGGGGGACCAUCCUCCAAGGCUAAAUACUCCUGACUGACCGAUAGUGAACCAGUACCGUGAGGGAAAGGCGAAAGAACCCGGCGAGGGAGUGAAAAGAACCUGAAACCGUGUACGUACAAGCAGUGGAGCACGCUUAGGCGUGUGACUGCGUACCUUUUGAUAAUGGGUCAGCGACUUAUAUUCUGUAGCAAGGUUAACCGAAUAGGGGAGCCGAAGGGAAACCGAGUCUAACUGGGCGUUAAGUUGCAGGGUAUAGACCCGAAACCCGGUGAUCUAGCCAUGGGCAGGUUGAAGGUUGGGUAACACUAACUGGAGGACCGAACCGACUAAUGUUGAAAAAUUAGCGGAUGACUUGUGGCUGGGGGUGAAAGGCCAAUCAAACCGGGAGAUAGCUGGUUCUCCCCGAAAGCUAUUUAGGUAGCGCCUCGUGAAUUCAUCUCCGGGGGUAGAGCACUGUUUCGGCAAGGGGGUCAUCCCGACUUACCAACCCGAUGCAAACUGCGAAUACCGGAGAAUGUUAUCACGGGAGACACACGGCGGGUGCUAACGUCCGUCGAGAAGAGGGAAACAACCCAGACCGCCAGCUAAGGUCCCAAAGUCAUGGUUAAGUGGGAAACGAUGUGGGAAGGCCCAGACAGCCAGGAUGUUGGCUUAGAAGCAGCCAUCAUUUAAAGAAAGCGUAAUAGCUCACUGGUCGAGUCGGCCUGCGCGGAAGAUGUAACGGGGCUAAACCAUGCACCGAAGCUGCGGCAGCGACGCUUAUGCGUUGUUGGGUAGGGGAGCGUUCUGUAAGCCUGCGAAGGUGUGCUGUGAGGCAUGCUGGAGGUAUCAGAAGUGCGAAUGCUGACAUAAGUAACGAUAAAGCGGGUGAAAAGCCCGCUCGCCGGAAGACCAAGGGUUCCUGUCCAACGUUAAUCGGGGCAGGGUGAGUCGACCCCUAAGGCGAGGCCGAAAGGCGUAGUCGAUGGGAAACAGGUUAAUAUUCCUGUACUUGGUGUUACUGCGAAGGGGGGACGGAGAAGGCUAUGUUGGCCGGGCGACGGUUGUCCCGGUUUAAGCGUGUAGGCUGGUUUUCCAGGCAAAUCCGGAAAAUCAAGGCUGAGGCGUGAUGACGAGGCACUACGGUGCUGAAGCAACAAAUGCCCUGCUUCCAGGAAAAGCCUCUAAGCAUCAGGUAACAUCAAAUCGUACCCCAAACCGACACAGGUGGUCAGGUAGAGAAUACCAAGGCGCUUGAGAGAACUCGGGUGAAGGAACUAGGCAAAAUGGUGCCGUAACUUCGGGAGAAGGCACGCUGAUAUGUAGGUGAAGUCCCUCGCGGAUGGAGCUGAAAUCAGUCGAAGAUACCAGCUGGCUGCAACUGUUUAUUAAAAACACAGCACUGUGCAAACACGAAAGUGGACGUAUACGGUGUGACGCCUGCCCGGUGCCGGAAGGUUAAUUGAUGGGGUCAGCGCAAGCGAAGCUCUUGAUCGAAGCCCCGGUAAACGGCGGCCGUAACUAUAACGGUCCUAAGGUAGCGAAAUUCCUUGUCGGGUAAGUUCCGACCUGCACGAAUGGCGUAAUGAUGGCCAGGCUGUCUCCACCCGAGACUCAGUGAAAUUGAACUCGCUGUGAAGAUGCAGUGUACCCGCGGCAAGACGGAAAGACCCCGUGAACCUUUACUAUAGCUUGACACUGAACAUUGAGCCUUGAUGUGUAGGAUAGGUGGGAGGCUUUGAAGUGUGGACGCCAGUCUGCAUGGAGCCGACCUUGAAAUACCACCCUUUAAUGUUUGAUGUUCUAACGUUGACCCGUAAUCCGGGUUGCGGACAGUGUCUGGUGGGUAGUUUGACUGGGGCGGUCUCCUCCUAAAGAGUAACGGAGGAGCACGAAGGUUGGCUAAUCCUGGUCGGACAUCAGGAGGUUAGUGCAAUGGCAUAAGCCAGCUUGACUGCGAGCGUGACGGCGCGAGCAGGUGCGAAAGCAGGUCAUAGUGAUCCGGUGGUUCUGAAUGGAAGGGCCAUCGCUCAACGGAUAAAAGGUACUCCGGGGAUAACAGGCUGAUACCGCCCAAGAGUUCAUAUCGACGGCGGUGUUUGGCACCUCGAUGUCGGCUCAUCACAUCCUGGGGCUGAAGUAGGUCCCAAGGGUAUGGCUGUUCGCCAUUUAAAGUGGUACGCGAGCUGGGUUUAGAACGUCGUGAGACAGUUCGGUCCCUAUCUGCCGUGGGCGCUGGAGAACUGAGGGGGGCUGCUCCUAGUACGAGAGGACCGGAGUGGACGCAUCACUGGUGUUCGGGUUGUCAUGCCAAUGGCACUGCCCGGUAGCUAAAUGCGGAAGAGAUAAGUGCUGAAAGCAUCUAAGCACGAAACUUGCCCCGAGAUGAGUUCUCCCUGACUCCUUGAGAGUCCUGAAGGAACGUUGAAGACGACGACGUUGAUAGGCCGGGUGUGUAAGCGCAGCGAUGCGUUGAGCUAACCGGUACUAAUGAACCGUGAGGCUUAACCUU